rfam:Cryptococcus bestiolae CBS 10118 unplaced genomic scaffold supercont1.1, whole genome shotgun sequence.
AUCCUCUCUGGCCUCUUUUGGCUAAGAUCAUGUGUAGUAUCUGUUCUUAACGCUGUGAGAAGCGUUACACGACCAAGGUCGUUUCUUCUCGCCGAGUUUUUCACGCCUUUCGUCGCCUCUUCAGCUUGCUGAAUGCGUUCGAACGAUGUCGCUGCCACCGCACUGCCGGCUUCUGAUGUCAGGGCUC